rnacentral:rRNA from 1 species
GACGAACGCUGGCGGCGUGCUUAACACAUGCAAGUCGAACGGAAAGGCCCUGCUUUUGUGGGGUGCUCGAGUGGCGAACGGGUGAGUAACACGUGAGUAACCUGCCCUUGACUUUGGGAUAACUUCAGGAAACUGGGGCUAAUACCGGAUAGGAGCUCCUGCUGCAUGGUGGGGGUUGGAAAGUUUCGGCGGUUGGGGAUGGACUCGCGGCUUAUCAGCUUGUUGGUGGGGUAGUGGCUUACCAAGGCUUUGACGGGUAGCCGGCCUGAGAGGGUGACCGGGGACAUGGGGACUGAGAUACGGCCCAGGCUCCUACGGGAGGCAGCAGUGGGGAAUAUUGCACAAUGGGCGGAAGCCUGAUGCAGCAACGCCGCGUGCGGGAUGACGGCCUUCGGGUUGUAAACCGCUUUCGCCUGUGACGAAGCGUGAGUGACGGUAAUGGGUAAAGAAGCACCGGCUAACUACGUG